GUCAGUACAGUAGUGUAGUACAUGGUAUAUUUUUUAUCUCAUCUCAAUCAAGGGAAUUAGCACCAUGCUUGCAGCUGUAUCUAAUAAAAUGCAUUAAAAUAGUAACUUACAAGUUACUUUGGUGUUGUCUUCCUAUAUAUGCUUUUAUUAGCUUGUGCUGGUGUCAUCCUGCAGUAAAUGCUUGUUAACACAUUCACUUCUACCCUUUGCUGGCAACAUGUUCUGUUUAGAAGGCAUCGUGACCUCUGAUUUGUACCAUGCAGUUUCUGGCAGGCUUUUGCCUUACUCAAAAUGACUCAUCACAAAUGCAUGUGAGCACAUGAGACCUAGAUAAACAUUAUUCAAGGGCUUGUCAUUGCUCUUAGGAUAAAAUAAUCUUUCAGUUCCCAUUACCAACAUGAUUCUCCGUACCUUGGCUCAAGUCUCCAGGCUCAUCUGAUGAUUCUGCUGCAGGAGUAUUAAAGGCCCAUGGGGCCAUGCAGCUCCUUCUUCACAAACAGUUCCUGGAUGCUGAAUGCUAUCUAUAUGCAGGCAUAGAAAAUUCAGUCUAAUCUCCCUCCAAAGAAGGAAGGACAGGAGCCUUAAAAUACCUUGGCUUUGGGCAGAUAUCCCACUGAGAACUCUAAAGCACCUUUCAGAAAGCUUCCUUGAGGGCCCAGUAAGCACGUGACUUGGCAUGCUCCCCUGCCCUGUGCUUCUACACCUUUAAUUCAUCUGCGGCAUCCCCAACUGCAAAAUUAAGAUGGCAAUGGAAACUGCCCUUCCCUACCAAUCCCAGAAAAAGCCUUGAUUUUCCUGGCCUCCAAUGUUGCCAGGAAUGCAGCAAUUCUUUUAAAGAUGGUUAAGUUGUAUCAGUCAUUACAUGGACUAAAUGCUAUGAAAUACAAGUGCACACACGUACACAUGCAUGAACAUUGUAAUGGUUAUCUACGAAGUUUUUAAAUAUCUGUUUUGAAGAUAUCGUUAUUAAAUUUUCUCCCCACCUCCCCAUCUCUGGUCAUACUGGAGCUUUAACCUAAGGCCUUAUACAUACUAGAAGACCACUCAACCACUAAGUCAUAGCUCAGUCCUCUUUUAACCAUAUUUAGUUGUCUGUUCCUUUGUUGAUUUAUUUUGUAGCUACCCCUUCUUCAAAAUAUGAACACAGUCCUGUGUGAGGUCAGCUGCCUUGCUCAGGAUCUGAGUCAAGAUAACAGCCAAUAAGAAUCCCCUCUUCUUCAAAUCAGAAUUUUUAUCAAGCUGAAAAUCAGAAAGUCUUUUCUACUGCAGAGUUAGCAUUCCUCCCCAGAGAGGAGACUGGCUUGCAGAAAUACAUAAGAAAACUGGUCAGAUAGAAAGGACAUCCGGAAUGAAACAAAGACUAAGAAUAGUAAUGGGCAUCCGAGACUCCGGUUCCAGUGGCUCUCCUUGCCUUUCUAUAAUUAGAGUAUUAGUCUCUUGUUCGAUUAUGUGACCUUAUUAGAGUCUUUCCAAUAAAUUCACUACUUUAUUCA
rnacentral:lncRNA from 1 species